rnacentral:rRNA from 1 species
AUGAUCCUACACGACAAAUUGUCGCGUCUUGGGCGCUCCUUGCGUUGCUGGAGUAGGAAAACAGUUGGUAAUAUUACGCUACUCUCAGCCGCUGCGGAACAGAUUAUCCUUGGCUUGGACCAUGCUCAAGACCACAGAGACCUUACUAUUGCUGAAAUAGGUCUAAGGCACUAUCUAAAGCGCAAAUUGCUUGGCCUUGCUGCAAUCCAACGCAUCAGGAUCAGGCAAAGAUCAAGGGUCUUAUGGCUUCGUGCGGGUGAUGCUAAUUCUCGGCUGUUUCACAUCAAGGCCAACGGGAGACGCCGCCACAAUUAUAUUCCCCUUUUGCAGACCGAUCAUGGCCAAUUCACCACCCAAGCUGACAAGCAUGCUGAGCUUCACAAGCACUUCUCUGUCACCAUUGGCUCAGUUAAAGCAAGGAACCAAUCGCUUAAUUGGGAUGCCUUGGACCUUCCCAGACUUGACCUUUCCUCCCUGGAUGCCCCGUUCACAGAGGAGGAAAUUAAAGCGGCAGUUUUUGGUCUACCUUCCGGUAAGGCGCCUGGGCCGGACGGUUUCACCGCUGAUUUUUUCAAGCACUGCUGGGAGGUGAUUAAGCAUGAUCUUACUGCGGCCAUAUGUCAGUUCUUCAACCUUCGCGGUAAUCAUUGGCACAUGUUGAAUUCUGCUCACAUUACUCUUCUGCCCAAAUCCAAUGAGGCUUCUCGCAUCAAGGAGUUCCGCCCCAUCAGUCUCAUGCACUCUGUCGGAAAGAUUGUUUGCAAGAUGUUGUCCAUCCGCCUGGCUCCGUUCCUAUCAGUGUUGAUCCCUCCCUCCCAGAGCGCUUUCAUCAAGACUCGCAGCAUCCAUGACAACUUCUUGUUUGUCAAGAAUGCCGUCCGGAAAUUACACUCUGUCAACGAUCCUGCU